AUUGAACGCUGGCGGCAGGCCUAACACAUGCAAGUCGAGCGGAUGAAGGGAGCUUGCUCCUGGAUUCAGCGGCGGACGGGUGAGUAAUUCCUAGGAAUCUGCCUGGUAGUGGGGGAUAACGUCCGGACACGGGCGCUAAUAUCGCAUACGUCCUGAGGGAGAAAGUGGGGGAUCUUCGGACCUCACGCUAUCAGAUGAGCCUAGGUCGGAUUAGCUAGUUGGUGGGGUAAAGGCCUACCAAGGCGACGAUCCGUAACUGGUCUGAGAGGAUGAUCAGUCACACUGGAACUGAGACACGGUCCAGACUCCUACGGGAGGCAGCAGUGGGGAAUAUUGGACAAAGGGCGAAAGCCUGAUCCAGCCAUGCCGCGUGUGUGAAGAAGGUCUUCGGAUUGUAAAGCACUUUAAGUUGGGAGGAAGGGCAGUAAGUUAAUACCUUGCUGUUUUGACGUUACCAACAGAAUAAGCACCGGCUAACUUCGUG
rnacentral:rRNA from 1 species